UUUGGAACUUUAUGUAGAAUUUAAAAAAAAAAACGUUUUCUUUUUAUUUUCAAACUAUAUUUAUUUAUAUUUAAAGCAGAUGGAAUAUUAAUAGCAUUCAUCAACAUUCGGCCAAGAAGCCCAACAUAAUCAGCCACCCGACUGCUACUUUGGUUCACAACCUAAAACCCCAGCCAAAGGUUUAAUCUUUCUUGCGAAAGUUCACCUGUGGCUGUGAGCCUAACCGUAUUGCUAGUAUUCUGGAUUCUUCUGGUACUUGUGAGAAGGGGUGGACUGCCCCUGCAAGAUGCUUCCUCUGCCUUAGCUUUUCCAGGGUCUCUGCCAAACCAAGGUUUGGCGAUCGUAUAACCUAACCAAGAGUCAAAGCCUAAAAAGAAGAUCUGCUGUGCUAGCCCUGAGACUAAGAAGCUGAGACAUGAAUGCAUUGUGGAGCAUGGUGAAGAUGCUAGUGCAAAAUGGAUCGAAGCUUAUUGAAUGUGCCUUCGUGCUGAGGGCUUUAAUGUUUGAGAUUAAUAGAGGUAUUUCUAAAAAUUCAAACCAGAGGGGUAUACAGAUAUUACAUUUAUUCAUUUAACAAUUGCAGAUAGCAGAUUAUGUGCAAAAGAAAUAAAGCCAUAAUUUGUUAUGAACUUUUGAAUGCAAUACUUGUACUUUAUUUGAUUUCAAGUGCAAGAGAAAUCAAGAGACCACUUAUGUAUUUCACUUUGUUUUGAAGCAAACCAGGACUGAAUUUACCCUUUGGUUA